UUCUGGAAAAUGCACCCUUUGGAUAAAACUUCCAGACUGAAAUGGGGGUUGUCCUUCCUCCCCCUCGCCCAGGCUUCCUGAGUCCUCUCUGCUUCCCGCCUUGGGGGACACAGUGGAAGGGGCACGGGCCUGGGAGCCCAGAGGCCUCCACUUAGCUCUGUGACCUUGGACCGGUCUCUAUCCCUUUCUGAGCCUCAGUGUCCCCAUUUGCUGCAGUGGAUUAUCUCUAAGGCCCUUUUUAUGGAUACCGAAUUGUGCUAUUGGCAUCUUGUGUAGGUUUUCCUGUAGCUUCGCCUCAUAAAGGAGUGAGUGUAUGUGCACGGGUCUCUGUCUAGACUGUCCUUUCAGGUGUAAGUUCUCGAAGGGAAGGGACGAGGCCAGGCAAUCAGGCAGCCAGCCUGUGCAAAGCGGAGCUUGACAAGACUGAUCAGCGUAGGGAGAGCGGAUCCCAGCCCCAGCUUUGGCUGAACGCGGAGUGGCCUCGGACAAGUCCCUCGUUAAUAACCCAAGGGUUUGGGGGACUAAAUGACAUAGGAGAUGUGAAGCCCUUUGAAGGGGAAGGCAAGGCAAGGGGCUGUGUGCUUUCUGAUGUCAUCUCUUGAUGCCUGUGACAGUGAUGGGCUCCAGAGGCAGAACAGGGUGUGAGGUGUUCUGUGUUCCCCACCCUGCAGAAGCUGCGCAUGCAGGGAACAGAGACAGCCUCUGCACCCCCCUCCCCCCGCCCCCCGCAGGCUCCUGCCUGCUGCAGGGCUCUCAGGGACUGAAGAGGGAAGAUUAAGAGUCUCCCAAAACCUGAAGGAGGGUGGUUUGUGGAUUGCUCCUUAAUUCAGCAGCAUGUCUUGGCCAAACACCUGGUUGGCAGGUGCCGCAGCCCGACACGUCUGCUGCAGGGAGAGGAGAGCCUAGCCGAAUGGCAGAACAGGACCCCCUGGAGAAGGAUGUGGAGCGAAGAGGGCUGCUGUGGAGGCAUACAGGGAGGGCUUUCGACCACGUGGAGAAGAAUUUAGGGAGUAUUGGGCUCAACACCCCUCCAGAGGGGAGGAGUGAUGUGCCCAAGAUCACACGGUCAGCAAAGGUUGCGGAGCUAGGACUUGAACCAGGAACGUCAGGACUCUGUACAGGGUUGGGGACCCAACCUGUGCGGCUCGAAAGAACUGGAAGCAUGGGAAGGACUGGGAAUGUUCCAGUGACUGAGAAGAAUAUUCUAGCCCAGGAGGAGGAGCUGAGCCAAGGACCUCAGUGAACAUUUGUGGAACUGACCCACGCUGGGCUGGGCGCUGCCUCUCUUCUUGGCAAGGAGAAGAUGGGCCACAAAACGGGAGAUCUCAGCCGCCCAGGCGACCCCUCCCCAGGUGUGGAUGCGGUCCUCAGAGCAGGAUCGAGGGAGCUGAGACUGAGCUGCACUUCCUACCUGAGUGGGGGGCCACCUGUGCACAUGGCCAGCGCUUCCCUGGGUUUCUCCUUCUGCUGUCCCCCUGAGCUCCAUGCACCAGGUGUGGACGCAGCACCUGCUGGAGCCCCCAGGUCCCAGUUGUCUGCAAGCUCCAGGCAAAACCUGGACUCUCUUUCCAGAGCCACAUGCCAACGCACCACCUUUGACACAGCAGUGCCCCACCUGAGAGUCUACCCUAAGGGAAUAACCCUCAAAAACUGAAAAAGCUGGGCGGCCCCGGUGGCUCAGUGGUUUAAGUGCCACCUUCAGCCUGGGGUAUGAUCCUGGAGACCCGGGAUCGAGUCC